UACGUAGGGUGCGAGCGUUGCCCGGAUUUAUUGGGCGUAAAGGGCGCGCAGGCGGCCACGCACGUCCGUUGUGAAAUCGCCCGGCUCAACUGGGCGGGGUCAGCGGAUACGGCGUGGCUGGAGCAAGCUAGGGGGCAAUGGAAUUCCCGGUGUAGUGGUGGAAUGCGUAGAUAUCGGAAGGAACACCAGUGGCGAAAGCGGCUUCCUGGUCCAGCACCGACGUUCAGGCACGAAAGCGUGGGGAGCAAACAGG
rnacentral:rRNA from 1 species